GAUGAACGCUGACAGAAUGCUUAACACAUGCAAGUCUUUGGCGAAGCUGUGCUUGCACAGCCUAGCCAAGGCGGACGGGUGAGUAACGCGUAAGGAACUUGCCCUGCAGUCAGGGAUAACAGACGGAAACGACUGAUAAGACCUGGUAAAGUCAGGCGGACUCAUGUCCAGCCUGAUGAAAAGAGAUGCUGCAGGAGAGCCUUGCGUCCUAUUAGCUUGUUGGUGGGGUAACGGCCCACCAAGGCGAUGAUAGGUAGCCGGCCUGAGAGGGUGGACGGCCACAAGGGGACUGAGAUACGGCCCUUACUCCUACGGGAGGCAGCCGUGGGGAAUAUUGGACAAUGGGGGCAACCUUGAUCCAGCAAUUCUGUGUGAACGAUGAAGGUUUUCGGAUUGUAAAGUGCUUUCAGAAGGGAAGAAAAAAUGACGGUACCUGCAGAAGAAGCGACGGCUAAAUACGUG
rnacentral:rRNA from 1 species